AAGGUAUUGUGUGCAUCCCUUGAUGGGGAAAUCAGGCUCUUACCCAGAGGCUACUCUUAAUUUUCUUGGCUUCUCCCUGGUUUUGCAUCCCUGCAUUCCCUGAUGAACAACUGCCUGAAGCUGCCCAUUAGAACUUAGGGAAGGCCAUGGAGCCUGAAUGAACCUUGUUUCCUAUCAUUAAAGAAUUGGAGGAGGGGACUUCCCUCAUGGUCCAGUGGCUGGGACCCCCCCCACCCCAAGCAGGGGGCACGAGUUUGAUCCCUUGUCAGGGAAUAGAUCCCACAUGCUUCAACCCAGUGCAGCCAAAUUAAUAAAAAAAAAAAAGGGAGGACACGAAGACCUUGUGUCCAGGAGCCCCACAGGGCCCUGCACCGAGGUAAGGCCACAUCUCCACACUGAGUCUCAUUCUAGAUUUCAGUGGAAAAAGAAUCCCCUGGGUUACUCUUACAAAUAUAGAUUCCAGAUUCCCACUCUCACAUUCCAUAGGUUCUAAGGAGACACUAGUGGUAAUGAACCCGCCUCCCAGUGUAGCAGACUUAAGAGAUGUGGAUUUGAUCCCUGGGUCGGGAAGAUCCCCUGGAGGAAGGCACAGCAACCCAGCCCUGUAUACUUGCCUGGAGAAUCCCAUGGACAGUCAAGGAGAAUGGGCGCCCUCUAGCAACAGAGCUAACUCCUUCCAGCAUGACGGACACCUGGGAUCCCAAAACAGCUGGGCUGGUAGGGCCCUCGAGAAACGAACUACCAACACGUGCCCUGUGUCAGGCCCGGAAGGUGGGCUUUUUCCUGAACAUUGUCAUAACACUCUGCUUCGAGGUAGGAGGUAUCGUUAUCCCCAUUUUUCAGAGGAGAAUAAUCGAGGUUUGGUGACUUCCCAAGGAGGGGUGGGGAUUCUGUAUGACUCCAGGCCCUUUUCCCUGGAGCUCUCCAGACUUGGGAGCUACCGAUUCUCUGAGGUUUGGGGAACAAGAGUCAGGUGUGAGGCGCCGGAGCUUUCCAAGGGACAACAGCGUGACAGUACCUGGGCAAGAACCACGCCUCCCUUGUCGCCAGAACUGAUUACUGUUGCUUUCCUUUAAGAGCCUGCCCCUGAAAGAUGAAGUCCUCGCCACAUUGGGAGUUGCAUAUUAUAGAUUCCUGGAUCUCUCCAAUGUCUUUUCUCCCUCAUCAGCAUUGAGCGCCACUGGCGACAGAAAUUCUUCCCCUCCACUAGCGAGUGAAGGCACGAGACAUUUCCCGGCAGGUCGUCAGAAGCGGGUGGCGAGGAAAGAAGGAAAGACACUCUCCCUUUCCCUCUGCUCUCAUUUUGGACAGUUGGUGGAGAUGCACAUUUCAGCAGCUCAUGUUCUUUCUCUGUUGAGCUAAGGAAGGGACUACGUCCCCCAGCAGGCACUGGCACAGAGGAUGUGCUAGGCCGCCAUCUUAUUGUAGUCCUUUCUCCUGUUUCCACAAGCAGUAGCCUUAGCGAAUGAACUACAAGUCCCGGGUCACUGUCUCCCGUUUUCUCCAGCGGCCAUCUUUGCUGGUAGACGCCGCCCCUUUCCCCUUCCAUUGUCUGGUCAAAGAAAAGAGAAGGGAGCCGGGAAGACUGCAACUCCCGUCAAGCUUUGCCCCAACAGGAGGGGAAUUUCGAUAUUACUGGCGGGCGAGGUGCCAAGGUGGUUGAGUGAGGCGACUGCGAGAAGCUAGGUUGCCUGCCAUUUUUAUGGUAGUCCCCUUAGCCUCUUGACCCUGCCAUUCUUAACGAACUCUACAAGGCUCAGUUCAGUUCAGUUCAGGUCAGUCGCUUAGUCGUGUCCGACUCUUUGCGACCCCAUGAAUCGCCGCACGCCAGGCCGCCCUGUCCAUCACCAACUCCCGGAGUUCACCCAGACCCACGUCCAUCAAGUCCGUGAUGCCAUCCAGCCAUCUCAUCCUCUGUCGUCCCCUUCUCCUCCUGCUCCCAAUCCCUCCCAGCAUCAGAGUCUUUUCCAGUGUGUCAACUCUUCUCAUGAGGUGGCCAAAGUACUGGAGUUUCAGCUUUAGCAUCAUUCCUUCCAAAGAAAUCCCAGGGCUGAUCUCCUUCAGAAUGGACUGGUUGGAUCCCCUUGCAGUCCAAGGGACUCACAAGAGUCUUCUCCAACACCACAGUUCAAAAGCAUCAAUUCUUCGGCGCUCAGCUUUCUUCACAGUCCAACUCUCACAUCCAUACAUGACCACUGGAAAACCAUAGCCUUGACUAGACGGACCUUUGUUGGCAAAGUAAUGUCUCUGCUUUUGAAUAUGCUAUCUAGCUUGGUCAUAACUUUUCUUCCAAGGAAUAAGCGUCUUUUAAUUAUGUGGCUCAGUCACCAUCUACAGUGAUUUUGUAGCCCAAAAAAAUAAAGUCUGACACUGUUUCCACUGCUUCCCAUCUAUUUCCCAUGAAGUGAUGGGACCGGAUGCCAUGAUCUUUGUUUUCUGAAUGUUGAGCUUUAAGCCGACUUUUUCACUCUCCACUUUCGCUUUCAUCAAGAGCCCUGUUAGUUCCUCUUCACUUUUUGCCAUAAGAAUGGUGUCAUCUGCCUAUCUGAGGUUAUUGAUAUUUCUCCCGGCAAUCUUGAUUCCAGCUUGUGCUUCUUCCAGCCCAGCGUUUCUCAUGAUGUAUUCUGCAUAGAAGUUAAAUAAGCAGGGUGACAAUAUACAGCCUUGACGUAUUCCUUUUCCUAUUUGGAACCAGUCUGUUGUUCCAUGUCCAGUUCUAACUGUUGCUUUCUGACCUGCAUAUAGGUUUCUCUAGAAGGCUAGGAAACUACUGUUCCCAUCGCACCUCGUAAGAUGGACUGCUAGUCAGGUGUCCGCCCGUCUUCCGCCAUCCUGUUUGUAGUCAUCGUUCCCACGCCUCUACGCUCUGAAACCCGGAGCCUUGGGGCAACCGGACUAUAAAUCCCGG
ensembl:lncRNA